rnacentral:ncRNA from 2 species
CACUCAUCAAGAGCAGGUGGAGGGAAUGGCCCGAUGAAACCGCGGCAACCGUUAGUUUUUACUGACAAGGUGCCAAUUCCUGUGGCAUUUGCUACAAGAUGGGAG